GACGUAGGGGGCCAGCGUUGUUCGGAAUUACUUGGUGUAAAGGGUUCGUAGGCGGUGCGGCAAGUUGGGAGUGAAAUCUCUGGGCUCAACCCAGAGACGGCUUCCAAAACUGCCGUGCUUGAGUGUGAGAGAGGCUCGUGGAAUUGCAGGUGUAGCGGUGAAAUGCGUAGAUAUCUGCAGGAACACCCGUGGCGAAAGCGGCGAGCUGGAUCACUACUGACGCUGAAGAACGAAAGCUAGGGGAGCAAACAGG
rnacentral:rRNA from 1 species